UACGGGGGGGGCAAGCGUUGUUCGGAAUUACUGGGCGUAAAGGGCGCGUAGGCGGCCACUGCAAGUCGGCUGUGAAAUCUCCGGGCUUAACCCGGAAAGGUCAAUCGAUACUGCAGGGCUAGAGUGCAGAAGGGGCAACUGGAAUUCUCGGUGUAGCGGUGAAAUGCGUAGAUAUCGAGAGGAACACCUGCGGCGAAGGCGGGUUGCUGGGCUGACACUGACGCUGAAGCGCGAAAGCUAGGGGAGCGAACGGG
rnacentral:rRNA from 1 species